rnacentral:rRNA from 1 species
UACGUAGGGUGCAAGCGUUAAUCGGAAUACUGGGCGUAAAGCGUGCGCAGGCGGUUGUGCAAGACCGAUGUGAAAUCCCCCGGGCUUAACCCUGGGAAUGGCAUUGGUGACUGCACGGCUAGAGUGUGUCAGAGGGGGGUAGAAUUCCACGUGUAGCAGUGAAAAUGCGUAGAGAUGUGGAGGAAUACCGAUGGCGAAGGCAGCCCCCUGGGAUAACACUGACG